UACAAAUAAACUCAAUUAAAGCUGAAAAAAAAUCAACCUAAAAGCAAGCAAUGUGAUAGACACUAAAUGAGUGGAGAAACUGGAGCUCACUGAAGAGGUACUUGGCAGUAUCAAAGACAAAGCAAAAAACAACAACAACAAAACAAACAAACAAAAACAAAACAAAACG
rnacentral:lncRNA from 1 species